rnacentral:rRNA from 1 species
UACGGAGGAUGCAAGCGUUAUCCGGAAUGAUUGGGCGUAAAGCGUCGACAGGUGGCGUAUGUAAGUCUGCUGUUAAAGAGUGAGGCUCAAACCUCAUAAGAGCAGUGGAAACUACAUAGCUAGAGUGCGUUCGGGGCAGAGGGAAUUCCUGGUGUAGCGGUGAAAUGACGUAGAUAUCGAGGAAGAACACCGGUGGCGAAAGCGCUCUGCUAGCCGCAACUGACACUGAGGGACGAA